rnacentral:rRNA from 1 species
UACGUAGGGGGCAAGCGUUGUCCGGAUUUAUUGGGCGUAAAGAGCGUGUAGGCGGCCAUACAGGUCCGUUGUGAAAACUGGAGGCUUAACCUCCAGACGUCGAUGGAAACCGUAUGGCUAGAGUCCGGAAGAGGAGAGUGGAAUUCCUGGUGUAGCGGUGAAAUGCGCAGAUAUCAGGAAGAACACCGGUGGCGAAGGCGGCCAUCUGGACGGAUACUGACGCUGAGACGCGAAAGCGUGGGGAGCGAACAGG